CGGGCACUCGCCCUCUGCCCCAGCCCCGGCCCUCUGCCCUCUGCCCUCUGCCCACUGCCUUGGCCCGGCUCGCGACGCGGACGGUCCCCGGCUCCUGGGGCUGGACACUCCCGAGACAGGCCCCUUCCAGCUGGGCUUUAUGGCACCACGCGGCGCCCCGCCCUCCCGUCCAUCCAUCUCCCUCCUCCUGCUUUAUUAUCGGCCUCCAGGUGGCUUCCCUCAUAGUGGCAAAAGGGCUGCAGGAGCUCUGGGACUCACGUGCAUCCUCCAUCAUGAACAAGAGGAGAAGGGAACCACCCAGGAAGGUCGCUCCUAAAACCCUGACUCACAGACACUGAACUAACACAUGUUUAUGGUUGUCUUAAAGCAGUCGGUUUUGAGGUCACCUGUUCUUCACAAGACGUAAUGAAUGCAGCAGUUCAGGCUUUCCUGCAGUCGACUGAGUUCUCUGGUAACUGUGAGCAGGACUGAUGCGUGCCACCUGCAGGCCCACCCAUACGAACUUCCCACCCGAACCUCUGCAGCCUCCAUGCCCGGUCCUCUUGGCCUCAGGUCCCCUAGGCCAGCCAUGGGGGCCACAAGCUGAAGACGGCAGAGGUACAAGAGGAAGAAGUCUGGGGCCCUCAAUCAUGGCUGGGGGAUUGCUGCCCAGGAAUACCACCUGACCAGAGACACCACAUGAAUGAUUCCAUGAGCAGGAAAUAAAUCUUCAUGUUUAAGCCACUGAGAUUUGGGGAUUUAUCCAUUACAGUACCUA
rnacentral:lncRNA from 1 species